rnacentral:rRNA from 1 species
UACGUAGGGUGCGAGCGUUGUCCGGAAUUAUUGGGCGUAAAGGGCUCGUAGGUGGUUUGUCGCGUUGUUCGUGAAAACUCACAGCUCAACUGUGGGCGUGCGGGCGAUACGGGCAGACUGGAGUACUGCAGGGGAGACUGGAAUUCCUGGUGUAGCGGUGGAAUGCGCAGAUAUCAGGAGGAACACCGGUGGCGAAGGCGGGUCUCUGGGCAGUAACUGACGCUGAUACGCGAAAGCGUGGGGAGCGAAUCGG